UAAGGAAUAUUGCGCAAUGGACGAAAGUCUGACGCAGCAACGCCGCGUGCAGGAUGAAGGCCCUUUGGGUUGUAAACUGCUGUAGCAGGGGAAUAAGAGCCCACUUGGUGGGUGUGAAGGUACCCUGAAAGUAAGCUCCGGCUAACUACGUGCCAGCAGCCGCGGUAAUACGUAGGGAGCAAGCGUUGUCCGGAUUCACUGGGUGUAAAGGGUGCGCAGGCGGACUUUCAAGUCAGAGGUGAAAUCUCACGGCUUAACCGUGAAACUGCCUUUGAUACUGUAAGUCUUGAGUUAGAGAGAGGUUGAUGGAAUUCCAGGUGUAGCGGUGAAAUGCGUAGAUAUCUGGAAGAACACCAGUGGCGAAGGCGGUCAACUGGCUCUUAACUGACGCUCAGGCACGAAAGCGUGGGUAGCGAACAGG
rnacentral:rRNA from 1 species